UACGUAGGGUGCGAGCGUUAAUCGGAAUUACUGGGCGUAAAGCGUGCGCAGGCGGUUUGUUAAGACAGAUGUGAAAUCCCCGGGCUUAACCUGGGAACUGCAUUUGUGACUGGCAAGCUAGAGUAUGGCAGAGGGGGUAGAAUUCCACGUGUAGCAGUGAAAUGCGUAGAGAUGUGGAGGAAUACCGAUGGCGAAGGCAAUCCCUGGCCUGUACUGACGCUCAUGCACGAAAGCGUGGGGAGCAAACAGG
rnacentral:rRNA from 1 species